rnacentral:rRNA from 1 species
UACAGAGGGGGCAAGCGUUGUUCGGAAUUACUGGGCGUAAAGGGCGCGUAGGCGGCGUGCUAAGUCGAACGUGAAAUCCCCGGGCUCAACCCGGGAACUGCGUCCGAGACUGGCAGGCUUGGAUCCGGGAGAGGGAUGUGGAAUUCCAGGUGUAGCGGUGAAAUGCGUAGAUAUCUGGAGGAACACCGGUGGCGAAGGCGGGUCUCUGGGCCAUAACUGACGCUGAGGAGCGAAAGCGUGGGGAGCGAACAGG